AGCAGUAGCCGCGGGAACACGUAGGUGGCGAGCGUUGUCCGGAAUCAUUGGGCGUAAAGGGAGCGCAGGCGGGCAUGUAAGUCUUUCUUAAAAGUGCGGGGCUCAACCCCGUGAUGGGAAAGAAACUAUGUGUCUUGAGUACAGGAGAGGAAAGCGGAAUUCCCAGUGUAGCGGUGAAAUGCGUAGAUAUUGGGAGGAACACCAGUGGCGAAGGCGGCUUUUUGGACUGCAACUGACGCUGAGGCUCGAAAGCCAGGGGAGCGAACGGGAUUAGAUACCCCAGUAGUCCCUGUCUCUUAUACC
rnacentral:rRNA from 1 species